UACGUAGGGACCGAGCGUUGUCCGGAAUCAUUGGGCGUAAAGAGCGUGUAGGCGGCCACUUAAGUCCUGCGUGAAAUCUUGCGGCUCAACCGCAAGCGGUCGUGGGAAACUGGGUGGCUAGAGUGCGGGAGAGGAGAGUGGAAUUCCUGGUGUAGCGGUGAAAUGCGCAGAUAUCAGGAGGAACACCGGUGGCGAAGGCGGUUCUCUGGGCAUGUCCUGACGCUGAGGAGCGAAAGUGUGGGGAGCGAACAGG
rnacentral:rRNA from 1 species